AUCUCACCAUGAAGGAUAUUUAAAAGCAAAAUGACCUGAAGCAGGUGUGAGUAAUCUGUGGAUAGAACAGAGCUCUGCUCCAGGCGCAAGCACUGCUGUAGGUAAAGUGCUGAAGAAGAGGAAGACUACAGGCUAUUUAUCCAUGGCGGCAGCACAGCUUGGGGCAAGGCAGAGCUAAGACGACCCCUCUGUCUUUGUGAAGAUGCCAGAGGAAACCACCAAAGAGUUUCAAGCAAAAACCAAGCUGUUCAUCUUAUCAGGAGAAUCUGGGGAAGAAUCUGAUUCCAAAUUCAUUCAGGGUUUUGCCGAUUUGGAUCCUGGGCGUGGACCUAGCACCACUCAUCAAGCCAUGCUGAGGCAUCAUCCCACGUAGCAGAAACAGAAGGACCUACAACUAGAAAUAUGGCUGUUGUGACAAAGUGCCACAAACUGGAUGGCUGAAACCUACACAAAUUUUAUUCCGUCGCAGUCCGGAGACUAAGAUGUCUCAAAUCAAGAGUGCUUGUCAUCUUGCUCCCACCUCAGCCCACAUUUCCUUCGGCUGAUAACAGUUUCUAUAUUGGUCAUGGGUUAACUAACCUACCGAGUCUUUUUAUCUUCAAAAUUCCGUGAACAUGAAAUAUUACAUUUGAACUGAUUCAUACAACGAGUUGAGGAAGAGUCAACUAAGAGAAACCUAACAUGUUGUAUAGCGUGACAUAGACGCAAUCUUACAAUCUAUCCAACGCAUUUUAAGAAAAAGUGAAGGAGGACCCCUUGGUAUAGAGAUGGGUCUCCUUAGGUCUACUUCUGCUUUUAUCCAGCAUUUUCCUAUGUAUUUCAGUAUAUUCCCCUUUGUAAAAAUUCUAAUUCAGAAAUUAUCUGAACGAUGGCAAUUUUCAUGAAACGCUUUUUCAACACAGAGUUGUUCCCUUUACACAAAAAUGAAAUACAAAUCACCAGUGUUUUUAUUGCUUACAAACAGAAGUUGGACAAAAAUUUGAUACAUCGAUGUAAAGUAUUCUGGUAAUUAAUAUGGAAUUUUGAGGUUCAUAAAAAAUCACUACACUCAACAGAGCUUCAUCACACCACAUAACAGAUUGAUUUUUAAUGUAGUGUAGUCAUUAGUCUCAGUGAGUAGAGAUUACUGACUAUAAUUAGUUUUGGUGACUUAGAAAAAAUAUUAUCUAUGGUGAUUGAUGAUACUCUAGCUGUGCAUAUGAGAGUCAAUAAUUAAAUUGAAUUACAUUCAAAGCAUAGAGGGAUUUUUAUGCCACUUUAUUUG
rnacentral:lncRNA from 1 species